GACGUAGGGUGCAAGCGUUGUCCGGAUUUACUGGGCGUAAAGCGCGCGUAGGCGGCUCGUUAAGUGUGAAGUGAAAUGCCGGGGCUCAACUCCGGAACUGCUUUACAUACUGGCGAGCUUGAGGGAUGCAGAGGUUUGUGGAAUUCCUGGUGUAACGGUGAAAUGUGUUGAUAUCAGGAGGACACCAUGGCGAAGGCAGCAAAC
rnacentral:rRNA from 1 species